GACGAAGGGGGCUAGCGUUGUUCGGAAUUACUGGGCGUAAAGCGAGUGUAGGUGGUUGUCCAAGUUGGAUGUGAAAGCCUUGAGCUCAACUCAAGAAAUGCAUUCAGGACUGGGCGACUAGAGGACCGGAGAGGAUAGUGGAAUUCCCAGUGUAGUGGUGAAAUACGUAGAUAUUGGGAAGAACACCAGUGGCGAAGGCGACUUGCUGGACUUGUAGUGACGCUGAGACGCGAAAGCGUGGGGAGCAAACAGG
rnacentral:rRNA from 1 species